GUGGCGAACGGGUGAGUAAUGUAUCGGAACGUACCUUUCAGUGGGGGAUAACGUAGCGAAAGUUACGCUAAUACCGCAUAUUCUGUGAGCAGGAAAGCAGGGGAUCGCAAGACCUUGCGCUGAUUGAGCGGCCGAUAUCAGAUUAGCUAGUUGGUGAGGUAAAGGCUCACCAAGGCGACGAUCUGUAGCGGGUCUGAGAGGAUGAUCCGCCACACUGGAACUGAGACACGGUCCAGACUCCUACGGGAGGCAGCAGUGGGGAAUUUUGGACAAUGGGGGCAACCCUGAUCCAGCCAUGCCGCGUGAGUGAAGAAGGCCUUCGGGUUGUAAAGCUCUUUCGGCCGGGAAGAAAUCGUAUGGGUUAAUACCCUGUGCGGACGACGGUACCGGCAUAAGAAGCACCGGCUAACUACGUGCCAGCAGCCGCGGUAAUACGUAGGGUGCGAGCGUUAAUCGGAAUUACUGGGCGUAAAGCGUGCGCAGGCGGUUUUGUAAGACAGGCGUGAAAUCCCCGGGCUCAACCUGGGAACUGCGCUUGUGACUGCAAGGCUAGAGUAUGGCAGAGGGGGGUGGAAUUCCACGUGUAGCAGUGAAAUGCGUAGAGAUGUGGAGGAACACCAAUGGCGAAGGCAGCCCCCUGGGCCAAUACUGACGCUCAUGCACGAAAGCGUGGGUAGCAAAUAGGAUUAGAUACCCUGGUAGUCCACGCCCUAAACGAUGUCAACUAGGUGUUGGGUGGGUAAAACCAUUUAGUACCGGAGCUAACGCGUGAAGUUGACCGCCUGGGGAGUACGGCCGCAAGGUUAAAACUCAAAGGAAUUGACGGGGACCCGCACAAGCGGUGGAUGAUGUGGAUUAAUUCGAUGCAACGCGAAAAACCUUACCUACCCUUGACAUGUCCAGGAGCCUGAAGAGAUUUGGGUGUGCCCGAAAGGGAACUGGAACACAGGUGCUGCAUGGCUGUCGUCAGCUCGUGUCGUGAGAUGUUGGGUUAAGUCCCGCAACGAGCGCAACCCUUGUCGUUAAUUGCCAUCAUUUAGUUGGGCACUUUAACGAGACUGCCGGUGACAAACCGGAGGAAGGUGGGGAUGACGUCAAGUCCUCAUGGCCCUUAUGGGUAGGGCUUCACACGUCAUACAAUGGUCGGUACAAAGGGUUGCCAACCCGCGAGGGGGAGCCAAUCCCAGAAAGCCGAUCGUAGUCCGGAUUGCAGGCUGCAACUCGCCUGCAUGAAGUCGGAAUCGCUAGUAAUCGUGGAUCAGCAUGUCACGGUGAAUACGUUCCCGGGUCUUGUACACACCGCCCGUCACACCAUGGGAGCGGGUUCCGCCAGAAGUAGGUAGCCUAACCGCAAGGGGGGCGCUUACCACGGCGGGGUUCGUGACUGGUGAAGUCGGAACAAGGUA
rnacentral:rRNA from 1 species